GAGAAGUAGGGUGGCAUGGCAAGACCUAUUGGUAUGAUGAGAGAGUUCUGUGAAUGCCUAAUGGACUACGGGCUCGAUGACAUGGGCUAUACCGGUGACAUAUUCACUUGGAGGAGAGGAGACAUACGUGAACGUCUUGAUCGGGCAGUCUGCAAUAUUGCAUGAGAAAAUAAAUUCCCUAGAACGGCGGUGAUCAACGAAGAACAUGUCCACUCUGACCACCGCCCAAUCAUUCUGGACAUGGAAUUUGUGGACGGAAAAAUCUUUAAACGUCCGGAAGGGCGUGUUAAAUAA
rnacentral:rRNA from 1 species